GAUGAACGCUGGCGGCGUGCUUAACACAUGCAAGUCGAACGGAACUACUCCAAUGAGAGUCUUCGGAAAGGAUUUGGUUUAGUUUAGUGGCGGACGGGUGAGUAACGCGUGGGUAACCUGCCCUAUACAGGGGGAUAACAGUUGGAAACGACUGUUAAUACCGCAUAAGCGCACAGGAGCGCAUGCUCCGGUGUGAAAAACUCCGGUGGUAUAGGAUGGACCCGCGUCUGAUUAGCUGGUUGGCGGGGUAACGGCCCACCAAGGCGACGAUCAGUAGCCGGCCUGAGAGGGUGAACGGCCACCUUGGGACUGAGACACGGCCCAAACUCCUACGGGAGGCAGCAGUGGGGAAUAUUGCACAAUGGGGGAAACCCUGAUGCAGCGACGCCGCGUGAGCGAAGAAGUAUCUCGGUAUGUAAAGCUCUAUCAGCAGGGAAGAAAAUGACGGUACCUGACUAAGAAGCCCCGGCUAACUACGUG
rnacentral:rRNA from 1 species